CCCUUUCACCUUACCUUCUUCCUUUUCUCCUUCUCUCACAGCCGUUUCACGAAAUUGAAAACGCAGACACAUUGCGUCUUUCAUUCUUCCUAUCCAUUAUAUGCACAAAUAGUCUCCGCUCUCCACAACAAAAAAUUACAAUUUCUUCCUGAUGCAUCCGCUCUGCAGAACCUUCUUCCCCUUUUCGUGGUUCUGAUCAUUCCUUCUCAGAAAGACUCCUGUGGCUGCGACAUGAAUCACCAUCUUCCAUCCCGUAGGCUCCGUUUCUCACAGGUUUUUUUAUUUUUUGAAUUUUUGUUUCGUUUCAGUGUUGUAACGGAGACAAGGGAUUCUUUGGAGGGUUCGAAUCAGAGUAGGGUUAUGAUCUCAUGAGUAGUUAUGCGAACAAACAGAGACAAGGGAUUUUUUGGAGGGUUCGAAUCAGACUACGGAAGGUGGUCUGCUCCGUUUGGAAGACGGCUGAGGUUUGGCACCGGACAUUGUUCCUUAAAUGGUGGCUGCUGGCUGGGUGCUCACUAGAUUGAUCUUGAUUGUGAUUCACUAGCUUUGCAGAAAUCAAAGGAACGGUACUGGAAUUUCUCUCCCUCUCUCUUUAUUAUCCCUGAAAGGGCCAGACUUUUUUGUAUAUUUGGUCUUAAAUUUCUCUUCCUAUAGAAAAAGCAGUUUGCUCCCAAAUACAUAAUUGGUUUUUUGGUUUUCCUUUGCUGUUUUUGUUGAAGCAUGAGGCAAACUGUCUCUGGAAUUUCAGAUUCAUGAAUGGCUAUAUGAUAUGGGUAAUUUGCUGUUGUUGGUUUCCCUUUCACGCUUUAGAUGAGGCUAGAAGUUAUGAAAUAAAGUGAAUAGGUGACUUGCCCACCAAAGGUUUAGGAGUUUUCCACAAUUUAAAGCUUUUAGAUGAUGAGAUGGGGACUGAGAUUAGUUUAUACUCUUCUUCUUCAAGUUGAAAGAAAUCAUAAAUCAUGACUUCCCCAGGUGGUGCUUAUCGAAAACUCUUCACAGCUAGACAUGCUAAAGGCAUUGGUUAGAUAAGAAACUGGGAAUAAAGGGAAUUCAAACAUGCUAUAACAUGCUCAAGGCAUUGGCUAGAGAAGAGUGUGGGUAUCAAGGGAAUUCAAACAUGUUAUAAGUGAUGGAGAAUUUGUAGGCUGAGACUUGGAUAUGCUAUUGCAAGGCCUCUGCCUCAGCCUUUACCCGCCUGCAAUCUGCCCUCCGUUGUUUCCCACUUCCGGACCCGGCUGCCAUCUGUUCUCCUCCAAGGCCAAGGAUGCCUUAUGCUCUCCUGCAACGCUAAGACACCAAGCUCUAAUUGGAUUCCGCUCUAUUUGAACUAAAGAGGUUCAUAACCGGAUGAAGAGUGUGAAGAAUAUCCAAAAAUCACCAAGGAAUGAAGAUGGUUGCUGCUCCCAAGCUACAAUUCAUAACCGGAUGAAGAGUGUGAAGAAUAUCCAAAAAAACGCGAAGGAGUGAAGAUGGUUUCUGCUUCCAAACUACAAAGUAACACACAGUGAUGAAAUUAAUGGAGGAUUGGAAAAAAAAAAGACUGAUAGGGAGAAAGAUUGGAUUGCUUCACAAAGCAAUUCAGUUUAUAAGAAAUGUGAUAAUAAACCUGAUGAGACAAUGGCUUGGAAGGACAACAGAUGAAGUGUGUUGUGUUCACAUCUCUUUAUCGGAGCCCUAAAAUUAUGAAACUGAAACCAUGUUUACUUUCAAGAGGUGCUGAAGCUUGAAAUGUUUCUCAUGUUUGUCCUAUUGAAAGAGAUCAUAAUAUUAAAGUCCCAAGGAAAACUAAACAAAGAAACUAAUGCUCUUCCCUGUCCAAAGACAGGAGAUGCAACACCAUCCUAGGGGGAACAACAAGCUCAGUAAAUGGACAUUGCAUAGAUGCUCCCAAUCCCGCUAGACAAUCCGUCGGUUCAUUGCCCUCUCGAGGAACAUGAGUAAUAGAAACCUCCCAAGCCCUUGAGAGCAGCAACUGAAUUUCCAACAAAGCACUCAUGUAUCUAUGGAACUGGAACUUAUUCAACUUUUGUUUGAGUAGCUGAAAUAAUAAUUAAGAUUCUAAAAGAUUAUAUAUGAGUGCCAUUAACUAUCAGAUGAAGUGUAACAGCUACAUGGAAUUGAUAAAUGCAAUCUAUGACUAAUUAAACGUGACAUAUGCAAUAAUGCAUUGGAACGUUAAGUAUAGAUAGGCAAAUAAAAAGGCUUCUAAAAGAUUAUAUAUGAA